rnacentral:rRNA from 1 species
GUAACGAGCGCAACCCUUGUCCUUAGUUACCAGCACGUUAUGGUGGGCACUCUAAGGAGACUGCCGGUGACAACCGGAGGAAGGUGGGGAUGACGUCAAGUCAUCAUGGCCCUUACGGCCUGGGCUACACACGUGCUACAAUGGUCGGUACAAAGGGUUGCCAAGCCGCGAGGUGGAGCUAAUCCCAUAAAACCGAUCGUAGUCCGGAUCGCAGUCUGCAACUCGACUGCGUGAAGUCGGAAUCGCUAGUAAUCGUGAAUCAGAAUGUCACGGUGAAUACGUUCCCGGGCCUU